rnacentral:lncRNA from 1 species
CGAACCUCAAGUUCGGCCGCUGAACAUGGCAUGCAUGCGGAGGCACAUUCGGCCCCCGAACGUGGCCUGGCCAGCCACUAUAAAAGGGUCCCUUAGCCGAAAACGGGCGAGUUUUUCCCCAUUUUCGGCCAAGGUGAGCUCUCCGCCGUCCCUCACCGAUCUUUGAUGUUUUUCCUCAAGAUCUUUCAAGUUUUUCAUGUGUUUUAACUUUGUUUUGAAGAUUUGAGCUUUUGAGCAAAGUUUUGGAGCUUGGAGGUUCAAGAAUCCAACUUCUCCCACCUUCGAGUUUUAGGUCGUCUCUCUCUCGAUCUUCAAGAGGUAAGAGCCGAUCUUAAGCUCAUUGUAUGUUUUAAAUAAGUUUUAUGCAAGAUCUAUGGGGUAGAAAUGCAUGUGUAGGU